rnacentral:rRNA from 1 species
GACGAACGCUGGCGGCGUGCCUAAUACAUGCAAGUAGAACGCUGAAGGAGGAGCUUGCUUCUCCGGAUGAGUUGCGAACGGGUGAGUAACGCGUAGGUAACCUGCCUGGUAGCGGGGGAUAACUAUUGGAAACGAUAGCUAAUACCGCAUAAGAGUAGAUGUCGCAUGACAUUUGCUUAAAAGGUGCAACUGCACCACUACCAGAUGGACCUGCGUUGUAUUAGCUAGUUGGUGAGGUAACGGCUCACCAAGGCAACGAUACAUAGCCGACCGGAGAGGGGGAUCGGCCACACUGGGACUGAGACACGGCCCAGACGCCGACGGGAGGCAGCAGUAGGGAAUCGUCGGCAAUGGACGGAAGGCUGACCGAGCAAGGCCGCGUGAGUGAAGAAGGUUGUCGGAUCGUAAAGCUCGGUUGUAAGAGAAGAACGAGGGUGAGAGUGGAAAGUUCACACUGUGACGGUAUCUGACCAGAAAGGGACGGCUAACUACGUG